UACGUAGGGACCGAGCGUUGUCCGGAAUCAUUGGGCGUAAAGAGCGUGUAGGCGGCCUUUUAAGUCCUGCGUGAAAUCCUGCGGCUCAACCGCAGACGGUCGUGGGAAACUGGAAGGCUAGAGUGCGGGAGAGGAGAGUGGAAUUCCCGGUGUAGCGGUGAAAUGCGCAGAUAUCGGGAAGAACACCCGUGGCGAAGGCGGCUCUCUGGAACGCAACUGACGCUGAGACGCGAAGGCGUGGGGAGCAAACAGG
rnacentral:rRNA from 1 species